rnacentral:sRNA from 1 species
AUGACCGCAAAUCACUCAGCAGUGGACAGCAGGAUGACAUUUUGAAAUUGAAAGAAGAGGUUACACGCUUGCAGAAUUCAAUAGAAGAUAUAAAAGGCCACAUGAAAGACUCGGCAGAAAGUAUUCAGAAUGAGGAGGAAGUCAAUAAAUUCGCUAAGGAUAUUUAUGUUGAAGAAGAUCCUAUCAGCAAACAACGAAGAGAUAAAAUAAAAGAUGCCAUGCUUCAUGCUUGGACAUCUUAUGAAACGUAUGCGUGGGGAAAGGAUGAACUUAAGCCACAAUCAAUGAAUGGUGUUGACAGUUUUGGCGGUCUAGGGGCAACUAUAGUAGAUUCACUUGACACAUUAUUUGUGAUGGGUCUUGAUGAUCAAUUUAAUAGAGCUAGAGAGUGGGUUGCUGAAUCAUUGUCUUUCGAGAAGAACAUUGAAGUUAGUGUGUUCGAG